rnacentral:rRNA from 1 species
CCUACGGGAGGCAGCAGUGGGGAAUUUUCCGCAAUGGGCGAAAGCCUGACGGAGCAAUACCGCGUGAGGGAUGAAGGCCUAUGGGUUGUAAACCUCUUUUUUCAGGGAGGAAUAAAUGACGUGUACCUGAAGAAUAAGCAUCGGCUAACUCCGUGCCAGCAGCCGCGGUAAGACGGGGGAUGCAAGUGUUAUCCGGAAUCACUGGGCGUAAAGCGUCUGUAGGUGGUUAAAUAAGUCAACUGUUAAAUCUUGAGGCUUAACUUCAAAAUCGCAGUCGAAACUGUUUGACUAGAGUAUAGUAGGGGUAAAGGGAAUUUCCAGUGGAGCGGUGAAAUGCGUAGAUAUUGGAAAGAACACCGAUGGCGAAGGCACUUUACUGGGCUAUUACUAACACUGAGAGACGAAAGCUAGGGUAGCAAAUGGGAUUAGAUACCCCAGUAGUCCUAGCUGUAAACAAUGGAUACUAGAUGUUGAACAGAUCGACCUGUGCAGUAUCAAAGCUAACGCGUUAAGUAUCCCGCCUGGGAAGUAUGCUCGCAAGAGUGAAACUNAAAUGAAGUAAGUGUGAGAGUGCGAGACGACGACGAGGAGAGG